rnacentral:piRNA from 1 species
UCAGAGGAUACAGAGCAAAAUCAGCCAAGG